UGGACAGUGAUGAGGUUGGAGGGUGUCUGAGUGAAAAAUCGUGAUUAAAGCCGUCUGGAACUCUGAGGUCCAU